GCCCGCGUAGCUCAGUGGAUAGAGCGCCUGCCUCCGAAGCAGGAGGCCCCGAGUUCAACUCUCGGCGUGGGUACUA
rnacentral:tRNA from 11 species